AGGAAACCUCAGCAUUUGUGCUUUUCACUAAGCUUUUUCAUCAUGGAUAUCCUUGGGCUCAAUAUUAGAUAACAUUUUGAAUAUUCUUUGUCCUCUUGGCUUUUGAUUAAGAUGUUGAAUAGAUCUUAUUCAAGAAAUGGAGUGCAUACACAUUUGUAAACCAUCUCUGAGUAGUAAAUAUGAAGAGCAGAACUAGUAGACUUAAAACAAGGCAACACAUUUCAAGAUGUUGAGUAUUGAUAACUAAUCAACUACUAGCCUAGGAGGUAAAAGCCAAAGCUGUAAAUAGACAGGCCAGGUAAAUAUGAAUGAAGAAAUUGAAACAAGAGGUAAACAUCAUGGGAAGUCUAAUUAUAGGGCAAGUAUUUUUCCUUCAUAUCUUAUUUAACAUUGUCAAACUAUGUAAUACUUAUAGGCUUAACUAUUGUUUUCAUAGAAACAAUGUUAUUUUAAAUAUCAUGUGAUAGUGUAUUUAAGAGAUAUUCUAGUUUAAGUUUCCAUAUUUAAUCAACUUAACAAGUGCACAUUCUCUGCUGCCAACAGUACCAAUUUGUCAUCCAAGCAACAAAUAUUCCUUGGUAAUCUGCUAUAAGAUGACAGUUUUCUCUUUGGCAUUUUUAUGAAUUAAAGCUUUCAAGGCCAAACUUCAGAUUUGCUUAGCAUAACCCUGUACUACAUAUCAACAAAUGUUUGAUGGUCUGUCUGGUUCAUCUCUUAACACUAUGAAGAUGGCUACACUAAUCUUAACAAGCAAACAUACUGUUGCCAACAGUACCAAUUUGUCAUCCUAUCCAAGCAACUAAUAUUCCUUGGUAAUCUGCUAUCAGAUGAUUACAGUUUUCUCUUUGGCAUUUGUAUGAAUUAAAGCUUUCAAAGCCAAACCUUAGAUUUGGUUAGCAUAACCCUGAACUGCAUAUCAACAAAUGUCUGAUGGUCUGUCUGGUUCAUUUCUCAACACUAUGAAGAUGGCUACACA